rnacentral:rRNA from 1 species
GAUGAACGCUGGCGGCGUGCCUAAUACAUGCAAGUCGAGCGAACAGACGAGGAGCUUGCUCCUCUGACGUUAGCGGCGGACGGGGGAGUAACACGUGGAUAACCUACCUAUAAGACUGGGAUAACUUCGGGAAACCGGAGCUAAUACCGGAUAAUAUAUUGAACCGCAUGGUUCAAUAGUGAAAGACGGUUUUGCUGUCACUUAUAGAUGGAUCCGCGCCGCAUUAGCUAGUUGGUAAGGUAACGGCUUACCAAGGCAACGAUGCGUAGCCGACCUGAGAGGGUGAUCGGCCACACUGGAACUGAGACACGGUCCAGCCUCCUACGGGAGGCAGCAGUAGGGAAUCUUCCGCAAUGGGCGAAAGCAUGACGGAGCAACGCCGCGUGAGUGAUGAAGGUCUUCGGAUCGUAAAACUCUGUUAUUAGGGAAGAACAAAUGUGUAAGUAACUAUGCACGUCUUGACGGUACCUAAUCAGAAAGCCACGGCUAACUACGUG